UACGUAGGGAGCAAGCGUUGUCCGGAAUCAUUGGGCGUAAAGCGCGCGUAGGUGGCCCCAUAAGUCCGCUGUGAAAGUCAAAGGCUCAACCUUUGAAAGCCGGUGGAUACUGUGGGACUAGAGUACGGAAGAGGCGAGUGGAAUUCCUGGUGUAGCGGUGGAAUGCGCAGAUAUCAGGAGGAACACCAAUAGCGAAGGCAGGUCGCUGGGAAGUUACUGACACUGAGGCGCGAAAGCGUGGGGAGCGAACAGG
rnacentral:rRNA from 1 species